UUUCAAUCCUAACGAAAAUGC
ensembl:piRNA 21ur-5309 ncRNA